rnacentral:rRNA from 1 species
GACGAACGCUGGCGGCGUGCCUAAUACAUGCAAGUCGAACGGACCUUGCUUGGACGGAGUGGAGUACUUGUACAAAGCGAAGACUAAGCGCUGGCUAGUGGCGAACGGGUGAGUAACACGUAGGUAACCUACCGAUAAGACGAGGACAACUCAUGGAAACGUGAGCUAAUACUGGAUAUGGUAUAGGGAAGGCAUCUUUCUUAUAUUAAAGGAGCUUCUGGCUUCACUUAUUGAUGGACCUGCGGCGUAUUAGCUAGUUGGUGGGAUAGCAGCCUACCAAGGCGAUGUUACGUAGCCGAUCUGAGAGGAUAAACGGCCACACUGGGACUGAGAUACGGCCCAGACUCCUACGGGAGGCAGCAGUAGGGAAUUUUCCACAAUGGACGAAAGUCUGAUGGAGCAACGCCGCGUGUGUGAAGAAGGUUUUCGGAUUGUAAAGCACUGUUGUAAGGGAAGAAUAAGGUGAGAAGGAAAUGGCUCAUUGAUGACG